rnacentral:lncRNA from 1 species
UUCCUGUUCGAUGUGAUUUUUCCACCGUUGUGAUCAUCGUUUCCUUCUCUACAGGUUGACCGAAGUAAAACACCCAACUGCAAUGUGAGCCGGAGGAGCAGCCGCACCGAAGAGCCCCACCGUCGGUGAGUUUCAGUUUUUUACAUUUUUUUAGGCCAACCAAGGGUCUUAAGUGUUUUUUCUCGAAGGAACCGAUGCAAGUUUGGCUGAAUUUGGCUAAAAACAGCCAAAAAUAGCUAACUCGAGGUGGGUCACCACCACGAAAAGCGUUGUUGCCGCUGUGCUAGAUUUCUGAAAUUGGCUGAAUGGGCCCUGAGACUGAUUUUUGGGUCUAUUUGGGAUAUUUAUAGGUACCGUAAGCGCAUUCCAGUUCCCAAAAAAAAUUCAGGGAACCCAAGAACUGCAUGUAGGCGCAGUAACCAUUUAGUUUUCGGCGUUAAAUCAGGUAAAGACCCCUCACCCUAUUUCCUAUCAUAGAUGUGAAGUUUGAAUAAAUAAUAAUACGAUCUUUUGUACAAGUUAGAUAAAUAUGCAUAAUUAAUUAUGGAUUGCUAAUGGAGCCCAAAAUCAGACAUUAUUUUCUGUUGAUUUUUGUUGAUUUAUUUUACAGUUUAAAGGCAUGAUGG